GCCUACCUAGCUCAGCUGGUAGAGCAGGGCUUUUGUAAAGCUCAGGUCGUCGGUUCAAGUCCGUCGGUAGGCU
rnacentral:tRNA from 4 species